GAUGAAGAACGUAGCGAAAUGCGAUAAGUAAUGUGAAUUGCAGAAUUCAGUGAAUCAUCGAAUCUUUGAACGCACCUUGCACUCCUUGGUAUUCCGAGGAGUAUGCUUGUUUGAGAGUACUGUAAUCAUCAAUCCUCCUUUACUUUUGUGAAGUUGCUUGGAUUUGGGGAUUUGCUGGCCUUUCAUUAGAUCUGGCUUCCCUUGAAUGCAUUAGUUGAAUCGAGUUACAACGUUACGUGUAGUGUGAUAAUAUCUUCACUGCAUAGUUGUAAUGAAGUUUGGCUUCUAACAGUCCUUCAUUGGACAAUACUUUGAACAUUAUACCUCAAAUCAAGUAGGACUACCCGCUGAACUUAAGCAUAUCAAUAAGCGGAGGA
rnacentral:misc_RNA from 1 species